rnacentral:lncRNA from 1 species
CACAUCGCCGCACGUCGGCCAUCUCGACGUCGACGUUCUCGAUGGGGACGUCGUCACUUUCGUCAUCGACGGGGCGGUCCCAUGCGACGCGAUCACGGUCGCUCAGCGGUGUCAUCUCGAUGUCGCGCGGAGUGUGCAUCGGCCGAUGUGCCAUCGUUCCGCCCCCCUUGGUCUUUCUAUUUUUGUUUUGCCGGCUCCUUGUAUUUUCUUUCUCCUCUUUUUUUUUGUUUGUCUUUUUCUCUCUCUUUUGUUGCUGUGCCUAUGGGCCUCCUCGUCGCGCUCUUUGUUGUUGUCGUCGUCGUGCGCUCUCUGUAC